rfam:Corvus brachyrhynchos isolate BGI_N302 unplaced genomic scaffold scaffold68, whole genome shotgun sequence.
CCAUGGUGGUGGCCGGGGCCAUGGUGGUGGCUGU